AUACGAGCAACGUUCACAGACUAGGUGGUUGUGGGUGGAGUCGAAUCUCCGCUUAAGAUAUA
rnacentral:rRNA from 1 species